UUCUUAUUACGACAAAGCCUUGAAAAUAAUAUCAUAAAGGCUGAAAGCAACUGGCUACAAAAAAAUUCAAGACAAAAUAAGAAUUUGAAUGUAUACUGGAUUUACUUGGGCAACAUUCCGCAAAAAGUUUGUGUGUACUUAUUUUUCUUAGGAAAUAUUAUCCAUAAAUUCAAGUUUCUUUCGUGGGAAAUGCAAAUUUUCCCCACCCCCUGGCAAGGGUGGAGGGGCGGUAGAAUUGCCAGUGCCGUCCAGCUUCGGCAGCAGCUGCAAAUUAGACGCAUCGCUUAACCAGCAAUGACAUAAAGCAGCCAAGUGGCAGCAACGGCGCUAACAACGUCCCGGAGUCAUCAUCGCCAGCGCCAUCAGCGCCAUCAUCAUCAGCAUUUCAUCUCAUCUCAGCCAGUGCAUCUGGGUUUUAAAUCAACACACCCGCAAAAAGCUAGAGAAACAGCAAACUGAAUUGGGACUCGGAGGUGCAGAUAGAGGUGCAGAAAGAGACGCAGAUACAGAUACAGAUACAGAUAGAGAUGGAGAUAGAGAUAGAGCGAUGGGUGGCCAUAAAAAAGGACACAGCAGGACAGGGCAGGACAGCCGGUUCGGGGUCACCUUAAUUAUGGCCACAAUUAACAGAUGCUCCGCCGUGGGACAGGGACAGGGACAGAGAGCUGGAGAGCUGGAGCGCUGAUGAGCAAAAGAGAUGGCACAGCAGGUGUUGUGUCCUCGCCAGGUGGAUAUACAGCAGCUCCUAGCUCUGCGCCGCUGUCUGUGUGUAAUCUCAUUACAAAUUCAAAUGCCCUGCAUCAGCUGCCAGCCACUGGGGUGGCACCCCACCACCCAUCCAUCUAGCCACCGAGCCACCGAACCAACCAACCACCCAACCACCCCCUCCUGGCUGGCCACCACUUGACGGUGUCCGCCUGGCAAAUGUUUCAGACCACGUUGUCACUCAAUUAUGUGCCAUGUGCGCAGAGCGUAGCAUACUUUUCAGCACCACCCCCGGGGGCACCACCCCCCUGCACCACCCCAACCACACGGCACAAAGGUGCCGCCAAAAGAGAGGGCGAAAGCCACAGCUGACCAGGUGACAUAAAUUCGAAGGGAUUUCCGAGUGGGCACCAGAAAUACCAGUGGGUUGCGGAGCCCUGCGGAUCAUUUGGAGCCCAGGAUAGCUCAAGAUGGCAGUCCUUUAAAGGGGACACCCAAAGAAAAAUGUUUUUAG